rnacentral:rRNA from 1 species
GACGAACGCUGGCGGCGUGCUUAACACAUGCAAGUCGAACGGAAAGGCCCUGCUUUUGUGGGGUGCUCGAGUGGCGAACGGGUGAGUAACACGUGGGUAACCUGCCCUUGACUUUGGGAUAACUUCAGGAAACUGGGGCUAAUACCGGAUAGGAGCUCCUGCUGCAUGGUGGGGGUUGGAAAGUUUCGGCGGUUGGGGAUGGACUCGCGGCUUAUCAGCUUGUUGGUGGGGUAGUGGCUUACCAAGGCUUUGACGGGUAGCCGGCCUGAGAGGGUGACCGGCCACAUUGGGACUGAGAUACGGCCCAGACUCCUACGGGAGGCAGCAGUGGGGAAUAUUGCACAAUGGGCGGAAGCCUGAUGCAGCAACGCCGCGUGCGGGAUGACGGCCUUCGAGUUGUAAACCGCUUUCGCCUGUGACGAAGCGUGAGUGACGGUAAUGGGUAAAGAAGCACCGGCUAACUACGUG